rnacentral:lncRNA from 1 species
AACAUUUUCUUUCUCCCUUAUAUUUUCUGCCGGUGCAUUUCUGGCACUUCUUCCUUUUCUUUCUGUGGCAUUAUGAAUUGGCACAGACAUCCAAAUUGUGGGAAUUUCAAGAACUAACACUAGUAAUCAGUAUUGAGGGAAAAGAAUUGGCACGUGUAGCCAAAUUUUGGGCAUUUCGAGAACUGACACUGAUAGUCAGUAUCAUGGGAAGAGAAUUGACAUGGGUAGCCAAAGUGUG